AUACGGAGGGUGCGAACGUUAAUCGGAAUUACAGGGCGUAAAGCGCGCGUAGGCGGUUCGACAAGUGGGAUGUGAAAGCCCAGGGCUUAACCUUGGAACUGCAUUCCAAACUGUCGGACUAGAGUAUGGUAGAGGGAGGUAGAAUUUCCUGUGUAGCGGUGAAAUGCGUAGAUAUAGGAAGGAAUACCGGUGGCGAAGGCGGCCUCCUGGACCAAUACUGACGCUGAGGUGCGAAAGCGUGGGGAGCAAACAGGAUUAGAUACCCCAGUAGUCC
rnacentral:rRNA from 1 species